rnacentral:rRNA from 1 species
AAUCAUGGCUAAGGAUGAACGCUAGCUACAGGCUUAACACAUGCAAGUCGAGGGGAAACGAUAUUGGAAGCUUGCUUCCGAUAGGCGUCGACCGGCGCACGGGUGAGUAACGCGUAUCCAACCUGCCCACCACUUGGGGAUAACCUUGCGAAAGUAAGACUAAUACCCAAUGAUAUCUCUAGAAGACAUCUGAAAGAGAUUAAAGAUUUAUCGGUGAUGGAUGGGGAUGCGUCUGAUUAG